rnacentral:lncRNA from 10 species
UUUAGUAGAGACAGGGUUUCACCGUGUUGGCCAGGAUGGUCUCGAUCUCCUCACCUCGUGAUCUGCCCGCCUUGGCCUCCCGAAGUGCUGGGCUAACAGGUGUGAGCCACCGCGCCUGGCCUAAUAUUCCUAGUUUUUUAACAAUUGACAUAGUUAUGAGUGUCUUGUGAUACUCUCAUAUGGUCCCUUCUGAGCACAUACCAGAUAGUCACCUUUACAUGGUACUCAGGAUGGUUCAUGGAAGGCCUGGUCUGUGUGGGAUUAUGAUCUUAUGCUUUCUAGAGUCUGUUCAUGCUCUUUGCUAUCAAAUUAACUUUUUCAUUUUUUUCGAGGAAACAUUGUUUUUUUCCAGUGCUUUAGGGAGAACCAUUUUAUUCUUAGUAAAACCCUGCCUCAGUGGAAGGCAAUUGAAGUGGGAGAUAAUUGUUAUCUUGGGGCUGGUAUGGUCUGCAAAUGGUUCCAUAUGUUGUGUCUUGCUUCCAGGUUGACUUAUUUGGAGGUUCAAGAUAAUUGACCACUAAGUCUGGUUCUGGAGAAGUUGGGUUUCCACAUGCCUUACAGUACAAGUGUGGCAAUUCAGGAGGUGAUCUAGAAGCAAGGUGUCCUUGCUCACGGAAGAAUGACAGCGGGAGAGAAGAUCGAAAUCACUGCCCAGGUUAAUAAAGCAAUAUGUGAGAUGACAGUCCAAGUUAGAAACCAGCCAAAGCUUGGAACGUGCUUCCUUGGGGAUUUCAUGUUCAUAUCAAUGACUGAUUUGGAAUUCGGAUUUGCCUUUGAAUGUUGGAGAGCAUGGAAUCAUGCAAGGAUCAGCAGACAGAUCCUGGGUGGUGAUCCGU